rnacentral:rRNA from 1 species
AUAGAGACUCAGAGUCUGCAUAUCAAUAAGCGGAGGAAAAGAAACUAACUAGGAUUCCCUUAGUAACGGCGAGUGAAGCGGGAAGAGCUCAAAUUUGAAAUCUUCAAGGUUUUACCUUGACGAAUUGUAGUUUAAAGAAGUGUUUUCUGUUGGAUGUUUUGGUAAAAGUUCUUUGGAAUAGGACAUCAUAGAGGGUGAGAAUCCCGUAUUUGACCAUUAUUUCCAGCUGUGUGAUACACUUUCAAAGAGUCGGAUUGUUUGGGAAUGCAGUCCAAAAUGGGUGGUAAAUUUCAUCUAAAGCUAAAUACUGGCGAGAGACCGAUAGCGAACAAGUACCGUGAGGGAAAGAUGAAAAGAACUUUGAAAAGAGAGUUAAACAGUACGUGAAAUUGUCAAAAGGGAAGCGUUUGACACCAGUGUUGUUUUCUCGAAAAUCAAUUAAAAAAGGCAGGAUUUUGUGUUGUAUUGACUUUAUCAAGCUUUCUUCACUCUUUUCUUGUCUUUUUUAAUGCACUUUUCGUUUAACAAGUCAACAUCAGUUUCUUUUGUUGUAAAAGGGUCAUUGGAAGGUGGCUUUCUUUUCGGAGAAAGUGUUUAUAGCCUUUGGCCUCUGCAAUCGGAGAGAUUGAGGUCUGCAGCGUAGAUCCUUCGGGGUUAGAUACAUUUGUGCUAAGUUAUAGCCUUUCAUAGACAACUUGUUGACUAUGAUCAGUCAUGUAGCUUACUCGCUUAUGCUAUUUUACCUACGCUUAGGAUGUUGACGAUCAGCUGAGCGCG